GGUUAAGCGACUAAGCGUACACGGUGGAUGCCCUGGCAGUCAGAGGCGAUGAAGGACGUGCUAAUCUGCGAUAAGCGUCGGUAAGGUGAUAUGAACCGUUAUAACCGGCGAUUUCCGAAUGGGGAAACCCAGUGUGAUUCGUCACACUAUCAUUAACUGAAUCCAUAGGUUAAUGAGGCGAACCGGGGGAACUGAAACAUCUAAGUACCCCGAGGAAAAGAAAUCAACCGAGAUUCCCCCAGUAGCGGCGAGCGAACGGGGAGCAGCCCAGAGCCUGAAUCAGUGUGUGUGUUAGUGGAAGCGUCUGGAAAGGCGUGCGAUACAGGGUGACAGCCCCGUACACAAAAAUGCACAUACUGUGAGCUCGAUGAGUAGGGCGGGACACGUGGUAUCCUGUCUGAAUAUGGGGGGACCAUCCUCCAAGGCUAAAUACUCCUGACUGACCGAUAGUGAACCAGUACCGUGAGGGAAAGGCGAAAAGAACCCCGGCGAGGGGAGUGAAAAAGAACCUGAAACCGUGUACGUACAAGCAGUGGGAGCACGCUUAGGCGUGUGACUGCGUACCUUUUGUAUAAUGGGUCAGCGACUUAUAUUCUGUAGCAAGGUUAACCGAAUAGGGGAGCCGAAGGGAAACCGAGUCUUAACUGGGCGUUAAGUUGCAGGGUAUAGACCCGAAACCCGGUGAUCUAGCCAUGGGCAGGUUGAAGGUUGGGUAACACUAACUGGAGGACCGAACCGACUAAUGUUGAAAAAUUAGCGGAUGACUUGUGGCUGGGGGUGAAAGGCCAAUCAAACCGGGAGAUAGCUGGUUCUCCCCGAAAGCUAUUUAGGUAGCGCCUCGUGAAUUCAUCUCCGGGGGUAGAGCACUGUUUCGGCAAGGGGGUCAUCCCGACUUACCAACCCGAUGCAAACUGCGAAUACCGGAGAAUGUUAUCACGGGAGACACACGGCGGGUGCUAACGUCCGUCGUGAAGAGGGAAACAACCCAGACCGCCAGCUAAGGUCCCAAAGUCAUGGUUAAGUGGGAAACGAUGUGGGAAGGCCCAGACAGCCAGGAUGUUGGCUUAGAAGCAGCCAUCAUUUAAAGAAAGCGUAAUAGCUCACUGGUCGAGUCGGCCUGCGCGGAAGAUGUAACGGGGCUAAACCAUGCACCGAAGCUGCGGCAGCGACGCUUAUGCGUUGUUGGGUAGGGGAGCGUUCUGUAAGCCUGCGAAGGUGUGCUGUGAGGCAUGCUGGAGGUAUCAGAAGUGCGAAUGCUGACAUAAGUAACGAUAAAGCGGGUGAAAAGCCCGCUCGCCGGAAGACCAAGGGUUCCUGUCCAACGUUAAUCGGGGCAGGGUGAGUCGACCCCUAAGGCGAGGCCGAAAGGCGUAGUCGAUGGGAAACAGGUUAAUAUUCCUGUACUUGGUGUUACUGCGAAGGGGGGACGGAGAAGGCUAUGUUGGCCGGGCGACGGUUGUCCCGGUUUAAGCGUGUAGGCUGGUUUUCCAGGCAAAUCCGGAAAAUCAAGGCUGAGGCGUGAUGACGAGGCACUACGGUGCUGAAGCAACAAAUGCCCUGCUUCCAGGAAAAGCCUCUAAGCAUCAGGUAACAUCAAAUCGUACCCCAAACCGACACAGGUGGUCAGGUAGAGAAUACCAAGGCGCUUGAGAGAACUCGGGUGAAGGAACUAGGCAAAAUGGUGCCGUAACUUCGGGAGAAGGCACGCUGAUAUGUAGGUGAAGUCCCUCGCGGAUGGAGCUGAAAUCAGUCGAAGAUACCAGCUGGCUGCAACUGUUUAUUAAAAACACAGCACUGUGCAAACACGAAAGUGGACGUAUACGGUGUGACGCCUGCCCGGUGCCGGAAGGUUAAUUGAUGGGGUCAGCGCAAGCGAAGCUCUUGAUCGAAGCCCCGGUAAACGGCGGCCGUAACUAUAACGGUCCUAAGGUAGCGAAAUUCCUUGUCGGGUAAGUUCCGACCUGCACGAAUGGCGUAAUGAUGGCCAGGCUGUCUCCACCCGAGACUCAGUGAAAUUGAACUCGCUGUGAAGAUGCAGUGUACCCGCGGCAAGACGGAAAGACCCCGUGAACCUUUACUAUAGCUUGACACUGAACAUUGAGCCUUGAUGUGUAGGAUAGGUGGGAGGCUUGGAAGUGUGGACGCCAGUCUGCAUGGAGCCGACCUUGAAAUACCACCCUUUAAUGUUUGAUGUUCUAACGUUGACCCGUAAUCCGGGUUGCGGACAGUGUCUGGUGGGUAGUUUGACUGGGGCGGUCUCCUCCUAAAGAGUAACGGAGGAGCACGAAGGUUGGCUAAUCCUGGUCGGACAUCAGGAGGUUAGUGCAAUGGCAUAAGCCAGCUUGACUGCGAGCGUGACGGCGCGAGCAGGUGCGAAAGCAGGUCAUAGUGAUCCGGUGGUUCUGAAUGGAAGGGCCAUCGCUCAACGGAUAAAAGGUACUCCGGGGAUAACAGGCUGAUACCGCCCAAGAGUUCAUAUCGACGGCGGUGUUUGGCACCUCGAUGUCGGCUCAUCACAUCCUGGGGCUGAAGUAGGUCCCAAGGGUAUGGCUGUUCGCCAUUUAAAGUGGUACGCGAGCUGGGUUUAGAACGUCGUGAGACAGUUCGGUCCCUAUCUGCCGUGGGCGCUGGAGAACUGAGGGGGGCUGCUCCUAGUACGAGAGGACCGGAGUGGACGCAUCACUGGUGUUCGGGUUGUCAUGCCAAUGGCACUGCCCGGUAGCUAAAUGCGGAAGAGAUAAGUGCUGAAAGCAUCUAAGCACGAAACUUGCCCCGAGAUGAGUUCUCCCUGACUCCUUGAGAGUCCUGAAGGAACGUUGAAGACGACGACGUUGAUAGGCCGGAUGUGUAAGCGCAGCGAUGCGUUGAGCUAACCGGUACUAAUGAACCGUGAGGCUUAACCUU
rnacentral:rRNA from 1 species